rnacentral:tRNA from 1 species
GGUCCGUUAGUCUAAAUAGACAGUAAGUUGCAGCCUUAAAGAUGCACGUAAGAUGCACGGACUU